rnacentral:rRNA from 1 species
AACGAACGCUGGCGGCGUGGCUAACACAUGCAAGUCGAACGGGAAAACCCGCAAGGGUGAGUACAGUGGCGCACGGGUGCGUAACACGUGGGUAAUCUGCCCAGAAGCCCGGAAUAACUCCCCGAAAGGGGUGCUAAUGCCGGAUGAGACCACGGGGACUUCGGUUCCUGGGGGAAAAGGUGGCCUCUGUAUACAAGCUAUCACUUCUGGAUGAGCCCGCGGCCCAUCAGCUAGUUGGCGGGGUAAUGGCCCACCAAGGCUACGACGGGUAGCUGGUCUGAGAGGACGAUCAGCCACACUGGAACUGAGACACGGUCCAGACUCCUACGGGAGGCAGCAGUGGGGAAUCUUGCGCAAUGGGCGAAAGCCUGACGCAGCAACGCCGCGUGUGUGAUGAAGGUCUUCGGAUCGUAAGGCACUGUCGGGAGGGACGAAUAAGGGCCGGGUGAACAAUCCGGUUCGACGACGGUACCUCCAGAGGAAGCACCGGCUAACUCUGUGCCAGCCGCCGCGGUAACAC